rnacentral:snRNA from 1 species
GCCCCCUUCGGGGGGCACCAAAUAAAAUUGGAAAAAUACAGAGAAGAUUAGCAUUGCCCCUGCGCAAGGAUGACAAUAAUGGUUGGAAGCAACUAGUACUUUUU